rnacentral:lncRNA from 1 species
UUUAUUUUUAAAUUUUCAACAAAAUGAUGAGUCAAUUAUAAAGCAGGUGCAAUGAACGAUUCUCACCUGACACAAACACUUGAAUGUCUUUGGAUCAAAACCAAUUGGUAAGAUUAAAAAGUUUCAUUUAUAUAACAAUGCUUUUUUCUUUUUUAUUUCUUUAACUCAAUUACUUUUUCAGGUUCUUCGAUCCUAAUUAAUAUAUUGC